UACGUAGGGUGCGAGCGUUGUCCGGAAUUACUGGGCGUAAAGGGCGCGUAGGCGGCCUUCUAAGUCGGACGUGAAAUCCCUCGGCUUAACCGAGGAACUGCGUCCGAGACUGAAAGGCUUGAAUCCGGGAGAGGGAUGUGGAAUUCCAGGUGUAGCGGUGAAAUGCGUAGAUAUCUGGAGGAACACCGGUGGCGAAGGCGGCAUCCUGGACCGGCAUUGACGCUGAGGCGCGAAAGCUAGGGGAGCAAACGGG
rnacentral:rRNA from 1 species